CAAAAAUCAACCGGAAUUGAAAACUACUCAACGGCCGCAGAACGGGGUCGAUCCACUGCCGCUGGCUGCCGGCUGCCGGCGGGGAGCGAGGGUGGCGGUGUCGGGUCCGGGCAGCGGGAAGGCCUCGGUCUCUUGGUUCCUUCUUGGAGCUGCUGCGGGGCCGCGGGCGGGCGGGUCGGUCUCGGCUGCUUCACCGGGUUAUUUUAUAAAAGAGGAAGAAAAAAAAUAAAAGUCUCCGGCGGGGGAGACGCGGAUUUUUUGUAAAUUUUUUUGGGGUUUUUUAAAAGAUUUUUUUAGAUUUUUUUUGGAUUUUUUAAUAAUAAAUGUGUGUUCCGAGCCCGGAGCACACACUCCGCACUCUCAGCAC
rnacentral:lncRNA from 1 species